rnacentral:piRNA from 1 species
UGAGGUUUCAAAGGUUGCUAGGGGA